CAAUUUGAAAGCUGGCACCUCCGGUGUCCGCGUUGUAAUCUCGAGACGUGUUUUCCGUGCGGCUCUAUGGACAAGUCCCUUGGAAUAGGGCAUCGUAGAGGGUGAGAAUCCCGUACUUGCCAUGGAAGAACCGUGCUUUGCGAUACACGCUCUAAGAGUCGAGUUGUUUGGGAUUGCAGCUCAAAAUGGGUGGUAGACUCCAUCUAAAGCUAAAUAUCGGGGAGAGACCGAUAGCGAACAAGUACCGUGAGGGAAAGAUGAAAAGCACUUUGGAAAGAGAGUUAAAAGUACGUGAAAUUGUCGAAAGGGAAGCACUUGAAGUCAGCCAUGCUGCUUGAGACUCAGCCUGGCCUUUGGGCUUGGUGUAUUUCUCGGUGGCAAGCCAGCAUUGGUUUGGGUCGUCGGAGAAGCGCAUAGGGAAUGUAGCGUUUCCGGACGUGUUAUAGCCUUAUGCAGGAUACGACGACCUGGAUCAAGGAACGCAGUGUGCCCUCUGGGCGGGUCUUCGGACACCU
rnacentral:rRNA from 1 species